rnacentral:rRNA from 2 species
CUGGUGUCAGCCACCUCCGUAUACCAUUACCUCGAGUGGUCUUGACGUUUAUUGCUGCCUAAAGUGUCCUGAGCCGGAUCUGCUGGUCUUCGGAUAAAUCCUCCUGCUCAACUGAUAGUAUGCUGGAAAUACUACAGAUUUACGGAGUGGGAUAUGCACACUGAAUUCAGAGGGUAGGGGUAAAAACCUCUGAUCCAUUGAGGACCACCAAUGGCAAAAGAGGACUGUCACAAUUCCUUCCACGGAGAGGGAUGAAAUCUGGGGUCAGCAAACCUGGAUUAUAUACCCGGGUAGUCUCAGCUGAAAACAAUGAUUACUCCGAGAUGCAUUGGCUUAUGGUCAAUGUGCUGUCGGACGGAAACCGAUAAUGAUGCCGUCUGGUAAUGACUGACCCAAGUCUGAAAAUUAAAG